UAGUUUGAUCAUGGCGUCAGGAUGAACGCUAGCUACAGGCUUAACACAUGCAAGUCGAGGGGCAGCGCGGCGUAAGCUUGCUUCCGCUGGUCGGCGACCGGCGCACGGGUGCGUAACGCGUAUACCCUAACCUUGCCCUUGGUCCCGGGAUAGCCCUACGCGAAAGCGAGAAUAAUACCCGGUGUAGGCCACGGUUCCGCAGUUGGGAGUUAGUGGUCGAGUUAGGGUCCGGCCGGACAAGG
rnacentral:rRNA from 1 species